CGGGGCGUGGCGCAGUCUGGUAGCGCGCACGCUUGGGGUGCGUGAGGUCACCGGUUCAAAUCCGGUCGCCCCGACCA
rnacentral:tRNA from 1 species